rnacentral:rRNA from 1 species
UUAUUUAUAAAGAGUCGAGCCUGCCCAGUGAAAGGUUUUUAACGGCCGCAGUACCCUGACUGUGCGAAGGUAGCAUAAUAAUUUGCCCUAUAAUUGAGGGCUAGAAUGAAUGGUUUGACAAGAACAUGACUGUCUCUUUGGGCUUUUGUAAAAAUUAUUUUAUAGGUGAAGAAACCUAUAUAACACUAAAAGACGAGAAGACCCUUUUGAGCUUUAAAUAAAUUUAAGAGACACUUAAUUUUGUUUUUUGUUGGGGCGACUUUGGAACAAAUAAGCUUCCUUUUUUAUAUAAACAUGAUUAUCGAUCCAGUAAAACUGAUUAAUAAAAUAAGCUACCAUAGGGAUAACAGCGUUAUUUUCUUCAAGAGUUCAUAUCGAAAAGAAUGUUUGCGACCUCGAUGUUGAAUUAAGGUACCCUAAAAACGUAGCAGUUUUUGAAGGUUGGUCUGUUCGACCAUAAAAACCUUACAUGAUCUGAUUUCAGACCGGAACAGCCGAUAUUAAAGGUUCGU